AGCGAAGCAGUUAAGUUGAUUUCUUCGGAAUGAUUUUUAACUGACUGAGCGGCGGACGGGUGAGUAACGCGUGGGUGACCUGCCCCAUACCGGGGGAUAACAGCUGGAAACGGCUGCUAAUACCGCAUAAGCGCACAGAGCUGCAUGGCUCGGUGUGAAAAACUCCGGUGGUAUGGGAUGGGCCCGCGUCUGAUUAGGCAGUUGGCGGGGUAACGGCCCACCAAACCGACGAUCAGUAGCCGGCCUGAGAGGGCGACCGGCCACAUUGGGACUGAGACACGGCCCAAACUCCUACGGGAGGCAGCAGUGGGGAGUAUUGCACAAUGGGGGAAACCCUGAUGCAGCGACGCCGCGUGAGCGAAGAAGUAUUUCGGUAUGUAAAGCUCUAUCAGCAGGGAAGAUAAUGACGGUACCUGACUAAGAAGCCCCGGCUAACUACGUGCCAGCAGCCGCGGUAAUACGUAGGGGGCAAGCGUUAUCCGGAUUUACUGGGUGUAAAGGGAGCGUAGACGGCAAGGCAAGUCUGAUGUGAAAACCCAGGGCUUAACCCUGGGACUGCAUUGGAAACUGUCUGGCUCGAGUGCCGGAGAGGUAAGCGGAAUUCCUAGUGUAGCGGUGAAAUGCGUAGAUAUUAGGAAGAACACCAGUGGCGAAGGCGGCUUACUGGACGGUAACUGACGUUGAGGCUCGAAAGCGUGGGGAGCAAACAGGAUUAGAUACCC
rnacentral:rRNA from 1 species